ACACUUCUCAAAGGUAUCUUGCUCAUAGCUGAUUGCUUAACCUGGAUCCAUUAUUUCCCUCAUGUUUUGUUCCAGAAGGUUUUGUUUUAUAGUUUUAUGUCUGCAGAAUGGAUGUCAGGAGAGGGUGGGGAUUGCUGAAAAGCAAAUGGAUUUAAUUAUUACAAAUGUCAAUUAAAUUGAGACAGAGAAAAUGUGAGGUGAAGUCUGGAGCUGACUAGUCGGAAUUCAUUUUUAAACAAUAUUGAAAAUAUAUGUUAUAAACAGAAUGAUGUUGAUUGCAGAAUAAUCUUGUUCAAUAAUGUCUCUAGCUAUGACUCACACAUAGCCCAGGAAGGGAGAAUGAGAGAGAAGAAAGAAACCAAGGGUCACACCAUUAAAGCUCAUAGAAAUGUUAUAUUCAGUUUGAUGCCAUUAAUCCUGUCUCAGGUCACCCCUCAAAGCCCUGGGCUCAAGCAAGCCUCCUGCUUCAACUUUCCAAGGAGCUGGGACUACAGAUGUGUGCUACCUCACCUGGAUAGUUUUUAUUUUUUAUUUUUGCAGAGACGAGGUCUCAUUGUAUUGCCCAGGCUGGUCUUGAACUCCUGACCUCAAGCGAUCCUCCUGUCUCAGCCUUCCAAAGAACUGAGAUUACAGGAAUGAGCUACCAUGCCAGGCCUUCAGAUUUCCAUUAUUCUUUUGUUAAAAUUUUUUUUCCACAAAUGUCUCAGAAGAUAUGGUGACUAAAGAUACCUUCAUUAUCCAAAAGGAAAUCAGUCAAACAAAUAAAAAUCAUAGUUGAAUCAGGACCCUA
rnacentral:lncRNA from 1 species